rnacentral:lncRNA from 1 species
AUGAGCGCUGGGUGCGGCUACACGUGUGAUGAAUCACUGCACUCUCCUAAACACAGGCGCACAGCAGGGAGAAAUCCCCAAAGGAUGGAGCGCAGCUUCGGAGAACUUGGGGGUCUGUGUGGCCACUUCAGAACUUUCCCUUGCCCACGGUGCGCCCUAAGAGAAGGACCAGCCCCCAAAUCCAAGCAGCGGCCUGCAGGUCUGGAGAUUCCGCGGCCAAGGAGGGAGGCAGGGAUGCCCCUUGUCCGGCCUUCAGGACGGCCCCCUGGAGGUCCCUGGGGCUCCCCUGGUCCAAACAUCCCCCCACGGUCCGGGGCUCCCUCCAGGCCAAGGCAGAAACCAGGGAUUGCGCACAGUCCGGCCCCCGCCCCACACGCGGCCAGGGGCUGGCGUCUCCGCACCCCUGAAGCAGGCCGCGAGCCGGAGCCUCCGCAUCACGAGGCUCUUGUAGGCACCUGUUGCCCCACUUCCAGGGCCCUGAACCCAGAAUCGCUGCCCCGGCCAGAGAGAUGGAGCGCCCUACACCUGAGCCCCCAGUCGCAGCGCCGAGCCUCUCUGAUCGCCGCCCGGGCGUUCAGAUGCCAGGCGACCCCGCUCGGCUCCUCGAGCCCCUGGAUCUGCCCUCCCAGCGCUGCCCCUGCCCCGGGGCCCCGGGUGCAAACCCCGACGGUGACCCCUGGAUCCGCUCUCCCAGCCCCGCACCUGCCCCGGGGCAGACCCCGACUCUGCCCCUGGAUCCGCCCUCCCAGCCCCGCACCUGCCCCGGGUGCAGCCCCCGACUGUGCCCCUGGAUCCGCCCUCCCAGCGCUGCCCCUCCCCGGGGCAGCCCCCGACUGUGCUGGGGCGGCCGUGCGCGCGGGGCCCCGAAGCGUGCACACUAGUGGGGGACACGGUCUGGGAGCACCGCGCUCCCGCGGCGGAAGCAGCGAGGGCGGGCCUGGGAGGCUCCAGAGCGCCCGCGCGCCUCGCUGGCGGCGCAGGGCCGGGGUGGGGGCAGGGCCCCGGCGCGAGCCGCGCUGCAGACGGCGGCCCCGGAAGGCGCGAGACCUUCGCGAGAGUUCCGGGCUGCGCCUGCGCACUGAGGCCGGCGCGGGGACGCGCGGGGCGGCGUCGGGGGUGGGGCGCUCGGGGCGAGCCCGCGCGCGGCCGGGAGAGGGGCGGGGCCGCGGCCAGGGCGCAGGCGCAGGCGCGCGGCCGCGGCGGCGGUUGGGGAGGGUUCUUCCGGAAGGUUCGGGAGGCUUCUGGAAAAGGCUCCGCGCGCCGGGCGGGCCCGCGUCUAUAUAA